rnacentral:rRNA from 1 species
CCUACGGGAGGCAGCAGUGAGGAAUAUUGGUCAAUGGGCGCGAGCCUGAACCAGCCAAGUAGCGUGAAGGAUGACUGCCCUACGGGUUGUAAACUUCUUUUAUAAAGGAAUAAAGUUAUGCACGUGUGCCUCUUUGUAUGUACCGUAUGAAUAAGGAUCGGCUAACUCCGUGCCAGCAGCCGCGGUAAUACGGAGGAUCCGAGCGUUAUCCGGAUUUAUUGGGUUUAAAGGGAGCGUAGAUGGGUUGUUAAGUCGGUGGUGAAAGUUUGCGGCUCAACCGUGACAGUGCAAUUGAUACUGGCAGGCUUGAGUACAGUUGAGGUAGGCGGAAUUCGUGGUGUAGCGGUGAAAUGCUUAGAUAUCACGAAGAACCCCGAUUGCGAAGGCAGCUUACUGAACUGUCACUGACGCUGAUGCUCGAAAGUGUGGGUAUCGAACAGGAUUAGAUACCCCUGUAGUC